rnacentral:rRNA from 1 species
UACAGAGGUCUCGAGCGUUGUUCGGAUUCAUUGGACGUAAAGGGUGCGUAGGUGGCUAGGUAAGUCGGAUGUGAAAUCCCGGGGCUCAACCCCGGACUGCAUUCGAUACUGCCUGGCUAGAGUACUGGAGAGGAGAUUGGAAUUUACGGUGUAGCAGUGAAAUGCGUAGAUAUCGUAAGGAAGACCAGUGGCGAAGGCGGAUCUCUGGACAGUUACUGACACUGAGGCACGAAGGCCAGGGGAGCAAACGGG